CCUACGGGGGGCAGCAGUGGGGAAUAUUGGACAAUGGGGGGAACCCUGAUCCAGCCAUGCCGCGUGUGUGAAGAAGGCCCUCGGGUUGUAAAGCACUUUCAGUGAGGAAGAACGCCUGGUGGUUAAUACCCAUCAGGAAAGACAUCACUCACAGAAGAAGCACCGGCUAACUCCGUGCCAGCAGCCGCGGUAAUACGGAGGGUGCGAGCGUUAAUCGGAAUUACUGGGCGUAAAGCGCGCGUAGGUGGCUUGAUAAGCCGGUUGUGAAAGCCCCGGGCUCAACCUGGGAACGGCAUCCGGAACUGUCAAGCUAGAGUGCAGGAGAGGAAGGUAGAAUUCCCGGUGUAGCGGUGAAAUGCGUAGAGAUCGGGAGGAAUACCAGUGGCGAAGGCGGCCUUCUGGACUGACACUGACACUGAGGUGCGAAAGCGUGGGUAGCAAACAGGAUUAGAUAUCCGAGUAGUC
rnacentral:rRNA from 1 species